rnacentral:misc_RNA from 1 species
UCAAAAUCGGUACACCCAGUAAAAAUUAUUACGGAUUUUCGAGAGUUUCCCUCGAUUUCUCUAGGAUCCCAUCAUCAGAUCCUGGUUUCCUUAUCACGGUACCAAACUAGGGAUAUCUCCUUUCCAACAAUAAAAGAAUUAUCAAAAUCGGUACAUCCAGUAGAAAGUUAUGCGGUAUAAUACAACGUAGGUCGACGAAAAAAGCGUCAAGUAAAAACGCAUUAUUAGAUAUAACUCGAAAAGUAGAUGUUAGAUCUCAAAUAAAUUUAAAUGGGACCAAUUGGCACACACCACCUUUCGAUUAAAAUAAAAUUUGUCGAAAUCGGUCUACCCGGUCAAAAGUUCUGAUGUAACAUACAUUAAAAAAAAAAAAAAAUACAGUCGAAUUGAGAAC